rnacentral:tRNA from 1 species
GGACCGAUAGUGUAGUGGUAAUACGUUGCGUCCGAAUGCGAAGAGGAAUGGUUCUACUCCAUCCCGGUCCA